UAGACAUGGGAUGCCAUGAACUGGUCC
rnacentral:piRNA from 1 species